rnacentral:tRNA from 1 species
GGUUCUAUGGUGUAAUGGUUAGCACGCUGGACUCUGAAUCCAGCAAUCUGAGGUCAAAACUCGGUAGGACAU